CACAGCAGGUGACAUUAUUACUUAUAAAUUACAAGGAUGAUGGGAGAGGGGAUGGAUGUGGAAUGAGCCUCCCUUCUCCCUCUGGAUUAAUGUAGCGAGAGUGUGAUGAGCAUUUAAGUGAGAACCAGUGCCGGGAGAGAGAGAAGAGUCAACGCAGACGCUGCGAACAUCACUGUUAAGGGAGAGACAGGGGAAGGAGGAAACGACGAAAGAUCUGAGUUGAGUGGGAAACUAUGUCAUGGAAGCCGGAGGGCAGAGAGAUUACUAUCAAGAGGGAAAGCCACAUAUUUCACUGAUGGCUAUCCAGCUCUCCCUGGCAAUUUAUUAAUGAGACUCUUCUGGUGUUCCCGUCGUGGCGCAGUGGUUAACGAAUCCG